UCAUUAACUGAAUCCAUAGGUUAAUGAGGCGAACCGGGGGAACUGAAACAUCUAAGUACCCCGAGGAAAAGAAAUCAACCGAGAUUCCCCCAGUAGCGGCGAGCGAACGGGGAGGAGCCCAGAGCCUGAAUCAGCAUGUGUGUUAGUGGAAGCGUCUGGAAAGGCGCGCGAUACAGGGUGACAGCCCCGUACACAAAAGCGCAUGUGCUGUGAGCUCGAUGAGUAGGGCGGGACACGUGGUAUCCUGUCUGAAUAUGGGGGGACCAUCCUCCAAGGCUAAAUACUCCUGACUGACCGAUAGUGAACCAGUACCGUGAGGGAAAGGCGAAAAGAACCCCGGCGAGGGGAGUGAAAAAGAACCUGAAACCGUGUACGUACAAGCAGUGGGAGCACAGGUUUACCUGUGUGACUGCGUACCUUUUGUAUAAUGGGUCAGCGACUUAU
rnacentral:rRNA from 1 species